rnacentral:lncRNA from 1 species
ACUGAAUGCUGCGGCACUCGGGUUAACAGAUGGUAGUGAGCUGUCUGAACUACUUAAAAUUUUCAGGUAAAAGGGCAGCAAGCAUUCUUAAACUGCUGAGCGGCCCUCUAGGUGUUCUUUGCUGGGGCAGGGGAGUUAGCAGGGAGGAAGUGGAGAGAACUGGGAGAGUUGAGACCCUCCUUCUGAGCGUUAAGCUGCAUGUAGAUAAUAUCUGCAGGUGUGGCACAAUUGAAAAGGCAGUGGCUUUCAGGCUAGUCACUGCACGGACUAGUAAGGCAGCUCUCUUGCUCCCAGCACCGUGCAUCUGAUUCUCCGUUCUCAGGGUUUGUUGAAGGUGCGCCUCAUUGGGGGUCUGCUCAGAACACUUGCAUGUGGUCAGCAGAGGGUGACUGGAGAUCAACUUUGUCCUUCAGAGAUCAAAAUAUAGAGAAAGCUGCUAAGGACCACCUGACAUGGUUAAACAGCCCUGGCUUAACGUUCCAGACACUGCUGCCAAUACUUGCGGCUGUUAGUUCCUGAUUUCUGCUUAAGGCUUUGCAGUUCUGCUUAUAGUCCUGUGAUCAGAGACACUUCCUCCUGUGGCAGCUGAAUUCCACGUUUCCCGAAACAGGAUUUCCCUAUUUUGUAGAGAACUUCCAUGAUUGAAUCUUCCUGCUUCUGGAAAUAAAAUGGGUAGUCCCUUGCAUACAAAGCUUGGAGGGUGUCUCUCAUUCUUCUCUUCUUCUGCUUUUUCUCAUCUACCUGAGAAUAAUUUUAAAUGGAUCGAAGGAAUGAAUGUCAGCCACCAAACUGAGAAGUUGACUUGCCUUUAAUCACCUGUAACUUUGUUAGAAUAAUAAAUUCUGUAGAAAGCUAA